rnacentral:rRNA from 1 species
AGAAUGACUCUCGGCAACGGAUAUCUAGGCUCUUGCAUCGAUGAAGAACGUAGCGAAAUGCGAUACUUGGUGUGAACUGCAGAAUCCCGUGAACCAUCGAGUCUUUGAACGCAAGUUGCGCCCGAUGCCAUUAGGUUGAGGGCACGUCUGCCUGGGUGUCACAU